UGUGGAUGUAGCUCAGUGAUAGAGCAUUUGCCUAGCAUGAGCAAGGCCCUGAGUUUGAUCCCCAGCACUGCAG
rnacentral:tRNA from 1 species